rnacentral:rRNA from 1 species
UACGGAGGGGACUAGCGUUGUUCGGAAUUACUGGGCGUAAAGCGCACGUAGGCGGAUUUGUAAGUCAGGGGUGAAAUCCCGGGGCUCAACCUCGGAACUGCCUUUGAUACUGCAAAGCUCGAGUCCGGAAGAGGUGAGUGGAAUUCCUAGUGUAGAGGUGAAAUUCGUAGAUAUUAGGAAGAACACCAGUGGCGAAGGCGGCUCACUGGUCCGGUACUGACGCUGAGGUGCGAAAGCGUGGGGAGCAAACAGG